CCUANGGGAGGCAGCAGUGGGGAAUUUUGGACAAUGGGGGCAACCCUGAUCCAGCCAUGCCGCGUGCGGGAAGAAGGCCUUCGGGUUGUAAACCGCUUUUGGUCGGGAAGAAAGGUUUCUCUUGAAUACGGAGGGACUGUGACGGUACCGGCAGAAUAAGCACCGGCUAACUACGUGCCAGCAGCCGCGGUAAUACGUAGGGUGCGAGCGUUAAUCGGAAUUACUGGGCGUAAAGAGUGCGUAGGCGGUUCGUUAUGUCUGUGGUGAAAGCCCUGGGCUCAACCUAGGAAUGGCCAUGGAAACUGGCGGGCGGGAGUAUGGCAGAGGGGGGUGGAAUUCCGCGUGUAGCAGGGAAAUGCGUAGAGAGGCGGAGGAACACCGAUGGCGAAGGCAGCCCCCUGGGCUAAUACUGACGCUGAGGCACGAAAGCGUGGGGAGCAAACAGGAUUAGAUACCCUANUAGUC
rnacentral:rRNA from 1 species